rnacentral:rRNA from 1 species
ACGCUGGCGGCGUGCCUAAUACAUGCAAGUAGAACGCUGAAGGAGGAGCUUGCUCUCUCUGGAUGAGUUGCGAACGGGUGAGUAACGCGUAGGUAACCUGCCUGGUAGCGGGGGAUAACUAUUGGAAACGAUAGCUAAUACCGCAUAACAGUAGAUGUUGCAUGACAUUUGCUUAAAAGGUGCAAUUGCAUCACUACCAGAUGGACCUGCGUUGUAUUAGCUAGUUGGUGGGGUAACGGCUCACCAAGGCGACGAUACAUAGCCGACCUGAGAGGGUGAUCGGCCACACUGGGACUGAGACACGGCCCAAACUCCUACGGGAGGCAGCAGUAGGGAAUCUUCGGCAAUGGACGGAAGUCUGACCGAGCAACGCCGCGUGAGUGAAGAAGGUUUUCGGAUCGUAAAGCUCUGUUGUAAGAGAAGAACGAGUGUGAGAGUGGAAAGUUCACACUGUGACGGUAUCUUACCAGAAAGGGACGGCUAACUACGUGCCAGCAGCCGCGGUAAUACGUAGGUCCCGAGCGUUGUCCGGAUUUAUUGGGCGUAAAGCGAGCGCAGGCGGUUAGAUAAGUCUGAAGUUAAAGGCUGUGGCUUAACCAUAGUACGCUUUGGAAACUGUUUAACUUGAGUGCAAGAGGGGAGAGUGGAAUUCCAUGUGUAGCGGUGAAAUGCGUAGAUAUAUGGAGGAACACCGGUGGCGAAAGCGGCUCUCUGGCUUGUAACUGACGCUGAGGCUCGAAAGCGUGGGGAGCAAACAGGAUUAGAUACCCUGGUAGUCCACGCCGUAAACGAUGAGUGCUAGGUGUUAGACCCUUUCCGGGGUUUAGUGCCGUAGCUAACGCAUUAAGCACUCCGCCUGGGGAGUACGACCGCAAGGUUGAAACUCAAAGGAAUUGACGGGGGCCCGCACAAGCGG